CAUACAGUAGUGGGAAAUAAAAUGGGCUGAAGAAUUCGUCAGCAUGGUUGGGUGGGUAGAGAAUGGCAGUCAAAUUACAUCUUAGACUGCUCCUGAGAUUAGCUUCACUCUAAUUUCUUCUGUCCUUAAUUUUUCUUUUAUUUAAUACCUUUGCUAUUCUUCUUUUCACUUACUAUUCUUUUAAGCUACCUUAUUUUUACUUUUAUGGCAGCGAAACCAAGCCUAGUUCCAACGGGAAAGAACCGCCCCAAGACUGAGCACGGCCGGCGGCGAGGAGGUAGCGACUCCCAGAGGAAUUAGGGCCCAAGGUGGUGGUUCGUUACAUAAAUUAAAUGGCGCCCAAUGUGGGGCAGCAACUGGUCGUUUUCAGACUUUCACAGAAUCCGAUAAACCAGUAAUGUGUCACCUAAAUGCUGGUCCUUUUCAUUUUCUUUCCUCUCCUUUCCUUUUCUUUCCUUUCCUUUUGCUUUUCAUAUCAUUUCAUUUCCUUUUAUUUUCUUUUCCCUCCUGAAAUAAUUUGGAUUUAUAGUUUACUAUUUGCGAGGUUCCUGUACCAGAUUUAUUUAGGAGGAUAUCUUUGAAAACCUUUUCGGGGACUUUUGGUUUGUGGAAAUGUUGCUGCGAAAUCAUACACCGAAACGGAAUAAAUGAUAACUUUUAUUUAUUUCCUUCUCUUCUCUUAUCCUUUUCUUUUACUUUCAUUUCCAUGGGAUUUUAGAUACGGAUUGAAUUAGCUGAUUUUUAUUGGUUUCUUACCUAGGCGAAAACUCGAGGAACUUUGUUGUUGAACAUGGUGUUUCAUUAAGGAUUUGUGUGUUUUUUUUUUGGACUAUUUUGCUAAAAAAACAUACCUUGGUAAUCCAGGUUUAACAGCAUUUUUAAUUUUUGCUUUUGUUGCUGUUCAUUUUAUUUUAUAGUGAAGAUGAUCCCAGAUUUACCCCUACUGCUUUGUUCCUAUGCUGAGUAGUGAGCAGUUAGCAUCUCAUAUCGUAUUUUAUUUAUUGUAUUUAAAACAAAAUUUAGUUAGUGUAUUUUAUAUAUUAUAGUUGACUUCAUUUUUUAUUUAACGUUUUGGAAAGAUGCCAUUGGCACACAGCAGGGACAGGAAUAAUGACAGGGAAGAAAGGCUACCUGGGAAUGGCUAUUGGACAAGAUCCAGGGACAGAGCACCUGGUUCUAAUCGGAACAGGACACAUUCCGCUGAAAGUGGAUUGGUAGAUAGGACGGAAGAGAUGUCUUCGGUAAUAAACGAAGACCGAGUCCAGCAGAUGAUUAGUGUCUCUAUGUCAGAAAUGCGUAGGGAGAUUACUUCUACAAUUUCGAACGAGAUCGGUAACCUAAUCCGUGGAAUGAAUUUGAAUAGCGAAGAGGUAAGUCCUAGGGAUCCUCCUUCUAGUCCUAGGGAGCCUACGUCCACGGCGAUUAGAAUCAACAACGGACGAAACACUCAAUACUCCGUGCCCCAAGAACAACCUGAGAAGAUACUUAAUACAAUUCGGAAUUGGGAAAUUUCUUUCUCCGGUAGUGAUAAGGACUUCCCAGUAGAGGAGUUUAUAUAUAGAGUGAAUAUCAUGACAACGAAUACACUGGGAGGAAAUUUUCAUUUGUUAUGUAGAUACAUACAUGUUCUGUUUGAGGGUAAAGCUUUGGCUUGGUUUUGGAGAUACCACCGUCAAAGCGAUACUGUCGAAUGGGCGGAAUUUAGUAGGUGUUUAAAAAUACAAUACAAGGACUUUUGUAGCGACUUUGAUAUUAAGGAUGAUAUUCGUCGCCGAAAACAACGUCAUAACGAGUCCUUUGACGAGUAUUAUGGAUUCAUAAUGAACCUAUUGGUGAUGAAGAACUUUGUGAGACCAUGCUUCGAAACCUUAGACCCGAGAUUCGUCAUGAACUCUUACACUUGGACAUACGUCAGGUUUCAGAACUCAGAAAAUCGGUGAAAAGGCACGAGAAAUUUAUGAAGGAUGUGCAAUCAGUCGCAAAAUUUAGACGUGAAGGGAAGGCUCAGGUAGCAGAAUUAGUGGACAUAGAGGAUGCGGAUGAAGAAGGAUCAAACGAACAUGAGGUCAAUGCGGUUCUUAAGGAUAUAAAAUGUUGGAAUUGUGAGGAGCGUGGCCAUCUGUACAAAGAUUGUUUGAGGGAGAAAACUGUCUUUUGUUACGGCUGUGGACUUAAGAACAUAUAUAAACCAUCCUGCACUAACUGCAAUAAUUCGGGAAACGCCUUGAAGGGUGUCCUUCCAAACAAAAGAGGACAUCCUACGAAAUUGAAGAAAAGAAAUUAAAUAUUGAAGUUAUUGAGAAAAACCCAGAUUUUACAAAUACCGGAAAAAGUAACCUAAUUUUACCAUACAGUUUUAUAAAACCUAAAAUUAUACUUGCGAGGAAAUCUUUAAAAAAUUCUAAGUCCAUGCGAAGUGCUUUACGUAUGAGAGAAUUUUGGAAACAGCUGAAGACCUUUAAAAAUUAUAAAAUUGCAACGAUUGUAACCAAAGAUUCAGAUACUCGGCCUUAUGUAGCUCUAAAUUUCAAAGGAAAGUUGUAUUUCGCUCUAUUAGACAGUGGAGCUAAUAAGAGUGUUAUUGGUGGUGAUCUGGCUCAGGAGCUGAAGAAAUCAUCUAAUUUUAAGAAAUGUCGCGGAAAUGUGAAGGAAUAAUUGAGUUAGAUUUUUAUUAUCAAAAUCAGAAAUGUAAAUUUGAGUUUUUGGUUGUGGAGUCUAUUAAGCAAGAUAUUAUUUGUGGAAUGGAUUUUUGGUGCAAAUUUAAAAUUUCCAUUUCUUUGGGUUCCGGACAAGAUGAGAUUUGCGGUAUCGAUAUGGACUUGGACUCCAUAGAAUUAUCGAAGGACUAGAGACGUAAACUGAAUGUUGUUAUCGAGAUGUUCCCCAAUUCUGACAGGGAUGGUCUUGGAUGUACCACGUUAGUCGAACAUCAUAUCGAUACAGGAAUGUCCAAGCCAGUAAAACAGAGAUACUAUCCGAUAUCUCCAGCGAGGGAGAAAAUUCUAUUUACGGAAAUUGAUAGGAUGUUGUCAUUGGGAGUUAUUGAGGAGAGUCCUCAGUCUCUAUGGUCUUCGCCUGGUGUAUUGAUAGUUAAACCUGACAAAGUUCGCUUCUGCGUGGACAGCAGGAAACUUAAUUCGGCAAUGGUAAAGGAUUCUUAUCCUAUUCCAAACAUUGAAGGAAUUUUGUCAAAGUUGCCUUCAGUACGUUUUAUCUCCAAAGUGGAUCUUAAACAUGCAUUUUAGCAGAUAAAACUAGAUGAUACCUCCAAGUCUAAGACAGCAUUUACCAUACCAAAUAGGCCCUUAUAUCAAUUCAGAAGGAUGCCCUUCGGGUUGUGCCAUGCACCCCAAAGAUUGUGCCGUUUGAUGGAUAUGGUAGUUCCGUAUAGUAUGAAAUCCCACGUAUUCGUCUACCUCGACGAUUUGUUAAUUGUUUCGGAAAAUUUUGAGGACCAUCUGCAGCAUUUGCAGGAGAUAGCUUUCCAGUUUAGGAAGGCUGGACUGACAAUCAACGUGAAGAAGAGUUGUUUUGCAAUUAGGCACGUGAAGUAUUUGGGAUAUAUUGUUGGCGAGGGGUGCCUUAAGGUUGACCCAGAAAUAGUAAGUGCAAUUGCCGAAUUUCCAUCCCCAAAGUCUAUACGUUCUCUGAGGCAAUUCCUUGGUAUGAUUGGAUGGUAUAGGCGAUUCAUUAGUGAGUUUUCUCAUUUUACAUUUCCUUUAACUGAAUUGCUUUCUAAGAAGAAAUCGUUUAAAUGGACACCUGAAGCGCAAGAGGCGUUCGAAUUUUUGAAGUGUAAGUUGUGUAGUGCUCCUGUAUUGGUCCAUGCGGAUUUUUCAAAACCAUUCGUGGAAUGGAAUUAAGCAUAAACUUACUGCUGUGUAUAGCCCGCAGGCUAAUGCCAGCGAGAGAGUAAACAGAUCGGUUAAUGCUGCUCUUAGAUCAUAUGUAAGGGAUGAUCAACGGCGAUGGGAUGAAUUUAUACCCAGUGUUAAUUGCGCCCUAAGGAACACAGUGCACCAGACUUUGGAGGAGACUACGUACCAAAUCCUGUUUGGUCAACAUAUGAUGACCCAUGGGGGAGACUAUAAUCUUGUGCGGAAGCUUCAGUUACUGGAAGAUGCGGAUCUAGAGUUAAAUAGGACGGACAAGUUAACGAUGUUGAGAGACUCCAUUAAGGGAAAGGUGAAAGCUGCAUAUGAGAAAAAUGAGAGGUUAUAUAAUUUACGUUCUCGAAAUAGACAGUAUGAUAUAGAAGACGAAGUAAUUCGACGGAAUUUUCCACAAAGCAUGAAGAUAAAUAAUUUCAGUGCUAAAUUGGCACCAGUGGGAAUUCGAGCUACAGUAGUACGUAAGAUCGGUAAUGUAAGUUAUGAGCUUAAGGAUAAGGACACGGGGAAAAUUGGGGUCUACAAUUUAAAGGAUAUUUGGGAAUAUUUUUUUUUUGCCUGGUAUAAUUUGUGACCUCUUUUAUUAACAGUUCCUAGUAUUUUACACACUUGUUGGGAAAUAUUAACAAUUUUAUUAAAUUUUUGUUUCAUUUCUUAAAACAUAAGGUGCUUUGAAAAUUAAAAGCUGUCUAUAUGUCUAUACAGAAAUUUUUAAUUUUUAUUUCAAUUUGAAAGACGAUUGGUGUUAGACGUGUCAAAAAAAAUAUUUUAUACGAAGAAAAAAAAUAUUCGAAGAUUUAAUUGAAUAAUUUUUAAGGAUAUAAAAGGAUCACAUACCACAUCAACUUAUUUUAAAAUUUCGGACGACGAAAUUAAUUUUUCAACUAAUUUUUAUUUUCCUGUUGUUUGGAUCGCCGAUUCCUCUGUGAAUCGGCGCUGUCCACGAACAAAAGAAGAGGAAAACUCCAAUCUCAAAUUAUCUGUAUUGGUCCCAAAUUUCCUUAGACAUCAAUCCCCUAAUUAUUAUAUAAUCGGUCCCAAAGACCAAUUGAUGCCUUUUAAAGGCGGAUAUUGAGAUUUUUGAUUCUACUAAUAUCAAGACCGGAGUCUUCUAAUCGAUGGUUUGAUUAGAGCUCAAAGAGUCCAAAAUUGACCUAAAACCCUGACUUGUCAAAUCAAUAGUCUUCCCGUCCAUAGUUUUAUUGGAGCCCAAUGGACACAGCAUUUCCCUAUUACCGAAUUGUGUCAAUUAAAGAAUUCUGGGGAUUCUCAUUUUUUUCAAUUGGAGAUAAAACAAGAAUUAUUUAUAGUAUAUACAUUUAGAUUAUUUCCCCCAUUAUUAUAUACAAGACAAUUAUUAAAUUUAUAUGUUACCUUGGUGCACGAGCAAAGCAAAUUUGAAGCCUUAACUUUUAUAACCACCCAGAACUAUAGCAAUUUCAAAUCCCACGUCUGAAGGCCUAAGGACAUCAUGGAUAUUAGCUGGUGAGUUUUCAUAAUAUUAUUGAAUUUGUUAUGCUCAUGCCACAUUUUUAUAAUAACACAAAUUCACGACACUUAUCUUUACUAAAUGCUAGGUUUAGUUUUUAUUUUUACGUAAACUAUAGUUCUUUCUUUCAAUAUCAUUCACUUUUAACUUAUUUAUAAACGUAGAUUACCUUUAAUACAAUCACUUUUUAUUGGACUAAGUUUUAUACCUUUAAUUGCCACAAAUCGAUUUCUAUUAAUUUUUGAAUAUAUUAUAACGAUGUUUUAAA